rnacentral:rRNA from 1 species
AGAGUUUGAUCAUGGCUCAGAACGAACGCUGGCGGCAUGCCUAACACAUGCAAGUCGAACGAAGGCUUCGGCCUUAGUGGCGCACGGGUGCGUAACGCGUGGGAAUCUGCCCUUGGGUUCGGAAUAACAGUGAGAAAUUACUGCUAAUACCGGAUGAUGACUUCGGUCCAAAGAUUUAUCGCCCAAGGAUGAGCCCGCGUAAGAUUAGCUAGUUGGUGAGGUAAAGGCUCACCAAGGCGACGAUCUUUAGCUGGUCUGAGAGGAUGAUCAGCCACACUGGGACUGAGACACGGCCCAGACUCCUACGGGAGGCAGCAGUGGGGAAUAUUGGACAAUGGGCGAAAGCCUGAUCCAGCAAUGCCGCGUGAGUGAUGAAGGCCUUAGGGUUGUAAAGCUCUUUUACCAGGGAUGAUAAUGACAGUACCUGGAGAAUAAGCUCCGGCUAACUCCGUGCCAGCAGCCGCGGUAAUACGGAGGGAGCUAGCGUUGUUCGGAAUUACUGGGCGUAAAGCGCACGUAGGCGGCCAUUCAAGUCAGAGGUGAAAGCCCGGGGCUCAACCCCGGAACUGCCCUUGAAACUGGGAAGCUAGAAUCUUGGAGAGGCGAGUGGAAUUCCGAGUGUAGAGGUGAAAUUCGUAGAUAUUCGGAAGAACACCAGUGGCGAAGGCGACUCGCUGGACAAGUAUUGACGCUGAGGUGCGAAAGCGCGGGGAGCAAACAGGAUUAGAUACCCCGGUAGUCC